UACGGGGGGGCAAGCGUUGUUCGGAAUUACUGGGCGUAAAGGGCGUGUAGGCGGCCAACUAAGUCCGACGUGAAAUCCCUAGGCUUAACCUAGGAACUGCGUCGGAUACUGGAUGGCUUGAAUCCGGGAGAGGGAUGCGGAAUUCCAGGUGUAGCGGUGAAAUGCGUAGAUAUCUGGAGGAACACCGGUGGCGAAGGCGGCAUCCUGGACCGGUAUGACGCUGAAGCGCGAAAGCCAGGGAAGGCAAACGGG
rnacentral:rRNA from 1 species